rnacentral:tRNA from 1 species
GGGGUUGUGGCUCAGUAGUAGAGCACUCACCUACCACAUGGGAGGACCUGGGUUCGAUCCUCGGCACCACA